CUAUUUUCAUUAAUUUGUUGUUUGUUUUUCUAAAGGAAGCGUUCUAGGUGGGGUCCAGUCUGGAUCAGGAAGUGCUUGGGACCAGCUGUGGCGUGGAUGGGCCGUGCCCUUGGAGAGGACUGAGGACAUCGUUUGGGACCAGCUUUUCUUGUGGCAGCGGAUGGUGUGAGCCGGGCUCUGCGGAUGCUGAGGCUGCUCUGGGCUCUGCCAGGGCUCUGCUGGGCUCAGCACCGGGCCGGGAUCAGCCAAAGAAGAAACGCUGUGACCUGCAGCAGAGACCUGAGCAUUUUGGCAAUGCAGCUCAAGUCUGCACAGUGUCCACCUCCAAGGGAAAAGAUGACACCCCCCAAAAAUUAAACUUGUUCAAUAACUUCUGAAAUGAAAUCCAUCUGGGAUGACCCCUAAUGACAUUUUUCAUCUUGCUCAAGCUGUAGCUCAGCCCUUCUCUGAACAGUUCUGUCCCCACACCUGCCUUUUACUUCACAACUGCUCCCUCCUUUCCCCCAGUGAGUUCCCAGCCCAUCACAGUCUCCAUCACACUGCAGCCUUCCUUGAUGCCCCUCACCACGAGGAAGGCCAAGCCCCAGUCUCAGGGACUCAUCCUGUCACUGGCUGAAGAACAGCAAUGUUUCAGAAGUCUGGUAGGAGUUUAGUGUCUUUCAGAGCUGCUCUCCAGCCCUCAGCUCUCCUCACUCCUUUUCCUCAUCCAUCAGGAUGUGCUCCGUGAAUCCCCCUGUGAUAAAUGGAAAUGAUUCAUGUUAACUAAAUUGUAAGUUUUUGGAAAGUUAUUAUUUGAAAUUAGUUAUUAUUAGAAGCAAUCAAGGGAAUUAGUGUUACAAAGCAGAUGUACCCCUUUACAGAUGUUACAUGUUAAAAUUAAGAUAGGCAAUGUAGUUUUGAGAUAAGAAAUGUCCCAAGAGAAAACUGACCAUGAGAAGGAUAAAGUUGGAACGACUUUAGGCGUAGGGCCUGAACAUUAUGAAGGGUAAGACUAAUUAGUGGAGCACAAUGCUCACUUACAUAACACAACACUUAAUACACACACACAGCCUGUGAGGUUAUCCAGAGGACAACGAGGAUGAGUGUAAGCCUUCGU